AUGCAAACCAACAGAGAUAACGUUACAUUAUAUUUAAAUACGUUCAUUUUUUGUUUCGCUUUUUCUUUUUAUUCGUAUUACUAAGUGGUGCUGAACCCAGAGCCAUCGAACUCAUUUCUUCGGUAACAUCCAUAACCUCGCCUGUGUUACUCUUUGCAUUAAAUAUAACUUCUGAUGGAGUUUCUUCACACUUGAUUUUUACCAAAGUACUUUCUAAAAGAUCAUAUAGUUUGAAAUUAUGUGAUUUAUUAUCGCCUCCAGUGGCAAACAUGAACGGACUAUUUGGACUAGCUUCCAAACAUUGUAAUGCUCCCAAGUUUGUCUUUGUUUCCCACACCAACUCAGGCUUUUCGUUACUGAUAACAUCCCAAACUUUCAAACAACUGUCAGUUGAACAGCUAACCAACAACCCAGGACAAGAAGAACUGAGAAUCAAACCUGUAAUGGAAUGAGUAUUUUUCAUACAUAGAUUGCACACAUUGAUCAGACCAACAUUAAUAUACCUG
rnacentral:misc_RNA from 1 species